GUGGCUCAGCCGGUAAGAGCACUGAGUGCUCUUCCAGAGGUCCUGAGUUCAAAUCUCAGC
rnacentral:tRNA from 1 species